rnacentral:rRNA from 1 species
GGAACAUACCCUUUCCUGCGGAAUAGCUCCGGGAAACUGGAAUUAAUACCGCAUACGCCCUACGGGGGAAAGAUUUAUCGGGGAAGGAUUGGCCCGCGUUGGAUUAGCUAGUUGGUGGGGUAAAGGCCUACCAAGGCGACGAUCCAUAGCUGGUCUGAGAGGAUGAUCAGCCACAUUGGGACUGAGACACGGCCCAAACUCCUACGGGAGGCAGCAGUGGGGAAUAUUGGACAAUGGGCGCAAGCCUGAUCCAGCCAUGCCGCGUGAGUGAUGAAGGCCUUAGGGUUGUAAAGCUCUUUCACCGAUGAAGAUAAUGACGGUAGUCGGAGAAGAAGCCCCGGCUAACUUCGUGCCAGCAGCCGCGGUAAUACGAAGGGGGCUAGCGUUGUUCGGAAUUACUGGGCGUAAAGCGCACGUAGGCGGAUAUUUAAGUCAGGGGUGAAAUCCCGCAGCUCAACUGCGGAACUGCCUUUGAUACUGGGUAUCUUGAGUAUGGAAGAGGUAAGUGGAAUUCCGAGUGUAGAGGUGAAAUUCGUAGAUAUUCGGAGGAACACCAGUGGCGAAGGCGGCUUACU